GACGAACGCUGGCGGCGUGCCUAAUACAUGCAAGUCGAACGCUUCUUUCCUCCCGAGUGCUUGCACUCAAUUGGAAAGAGGAGUGGCGGACGGGUGAGUAACACGUGGGUAACCUACCCAUCAGAGGGGGAUAACACUUGGAAACAGGUGCUAAUACCGCAUAACAGUUUAUGCCGCAUGGCAUAAGAGUGAAAGGCGCUUUCGGGUGUCGCUGAUGGAUGGACCCGCGGUGCAUUAGCUAGUUGGUGAGGUAACGGCUCACCAAGGCCACGAUGCAUAGCCGACCUGAGAGGGUGAUCGGCCACACUGGGACUGAGACACGGCCCAGACUCCUACGGGAGGCAGCAGUAGGGAAUCUUCGGCAAUGGACGAAAGUCUGACCGAGCAACGCCGCGUGAGUGAAGAAGGUUUUCGGAUCGUAAAACUCUGUUGCUAGAGAAGAACAAGGACGUUAGUAACUGAACGUCCCCUGACGGUAUCUAACCAGAAAGCCACGGCUAACUACGUGCCAGCAGCCGCGGUAAUACGUAGGUGGCAAGCGUUGUCCGGAUUUAUUGGGCGUAAAGCGAGCGCAGGCGGUUUCUUAAGUCUGAUGUGAAAGCCCCCGGCUCAACCGGGGAGGGUCAUUGGAAACUGGGAGACUUGAGUGCAGAAGAGGAGAGUGGAAUUCCAUGUGUAGCGGUGAAAUGCGUAGAUAUAUGGAGGAACACCAGUGGCGAAGGCGGCUCUCUGGUCUGUAACUGACGCUGAGGCUCGAAAGCGUGGGGAGCAAACAGG
rnacentral:rRNA from 1 species